GGGGAUGUUGUGGUUUCGACGGGGUGAAGUUUAUCUCAAAAGCUGCAUUUCAAGCUGAAUAACUUGUUAAACUUUUCAAAAAAAUAGACGCUAAUAACGUUGUAAAAGCUGAUUUUGCUCCCAGAGCAAUCGCUGCCUAGUAACGGCGCGACAGCCACUUUAUAAGCCCAACUUGCCGGUUUAUAAGGUAAAUUAUGCAAGUCGUUGAUUUAAUUUUCGUUAGCGGUUAGAUUAAUGUAUUCAGUUAACGAAGUUGAUAAUCUUUAAAAUUAUCUUCGGGUUUUUGCAACGGUUGCGGCAAUUUUCCUAAAAAUCUAAGAUAAAAGUGCCUAUGAAUGUAGACGCUUUUGCGGUAUCAUUUCGGACGCGAGUUCAACUCUCGCCAUCUCCAU
rnacentral:tmRNA from 1 species